rnacentral:tRNA from 1 species
ACCUGGGUGGCUCAGUCAGUUGAGCAUCUGACUUCGGCUCAGGUCAUGAUCUCACGGUUUGUGGGUUCGAGCCCCACAUCGGGCU